ACAGGGAUAGAAAACUCCAGGGGAGAUCUGACUUACUGUGAUUCUAAAAGCAGAUGAAGCAAGAAGAUUCUGACUGCAAUGCAAACCAGGCUGUCAGACUGCAGAUGUAUGCUUUACUGAGUGAGAGUAUUCCUAUAAAUGUUUCAGCAAACCCAAAUUACACAGGAAAUACACAGGAGCCCACGAAAAGGUAGUGCGUGAGGCUGUGAGAAUGAAGCGGAGAGUACAGUGGAGAGCCCAGGAAGUCGGAGAGGGAGGAGACUUUGGAUUUGGGCUUUCCAGCAAUGCUACGACUGCUAAGAGUUUGGCAAUCCUUAGAGAGAGACUAAGUGAAUUUUGCAUAAUGAGAAGGACAUAAGUUUUUGUGGGUGUAGGGGCAGAAAGUUAUGAUUUUGAUAUAAAUGUCCCCCCCAAAUCUCGUUUGGAAUGAAGCCUAGUGAGAAGCAGUAGGUUGCCAGAAGUGUGACUUGGAAGAGUGCAUCCUCCUCCUUGACUCCUCCCUUCACUCUCCUUUCUGGUCUCCAUGAUGUGAGCAGAUUUCAUCUGCCAUGUCCCCAGCAUCAUGUUUCUGCCUUGGAUCCUGCUGACCAUGGACUAAAUCUAUUGAAACUGU